rnacentral:lncRNA from 1 species
AAAGCAAUAAACUGUGCCACCAGUUUCCAGUUGAUAUCAACAGCGACAUCACGCUUUCAGAAUAAUUUUAAUAUACUUCUGUCACAACUUUUCUGCCUCUUUCAACAACUCGAAGAGCGUAGGAGAUCAAACAGGAAAGUUUGCAGCUCUUCCCCCUCGGAACUACCUCAGCUGCUUGGCAAGAAAGUCGCCAGCAGCCACUUUGCCCUGCCACAACACAGGCGCACGAAGACAGCUGUCUGUGAGGGCGGCACGGUACGAGGCCCAGGAUCACCAACAGGAGAAGCACCACAACGCACUCUUUACUCGCAAACUCCUUUCACAGCGUCCGUCCCGGUUACCUUCACCCAAACUGCCCAGCUCCCUGGACGCCCCGCUCAGGGGACUGGGGACUGCCGUUCCCAAUGGGCCAUCGGAAGCAAAACGACACCGGGGCGCCGCUCAGCCCCAGACAGCGAGGCAGGGCAAGCGAACAGUGCUGACGCGCACGCGGGGGGGGGGCACCACCCACGGCCUCGGCUGCGGAGCGGGAGCGUUUCCCCUCGGGGGCGGCACGGGGAGGCUGAGAAGGACAGCGGCAGGCUGGGGAGGACGGGGGGAGGCGGCUCGGCCUCGCCAAGGCCGCUGCGGCGACCGCCGGGGCUGCCGCAACGCGCCCCCCCUUCAGCCCCCCCCUCAAGGCCUCUCGGCCCCCGCCGCCAUCUCGCCCCCCAACCCCUGAGGCCCCGCCCCCUUCCCCAGGCCCCGCCCCCGGCGGCUAUUGGCCGCGCGGCACGCGGCCGGCCCGGCGCAGUCGCGGCCAUGGCUCCGAGCGCGCAGGCGGGGGGAGGCCGCGGGCAGGCCCCGGGCCCGGCNCCCCUUCCCCAGGCCCCGCCCCCGGCGGCUCCUGCGCGGACACUUCCUGCCCACGCCCAGGGAGCCUCCAGCGCGCACGCCCCCCUCCGCGCCCGAUGGUUCCUGCCCGGCCCCGGCAUUCCCCCCCCCACCCUGCUCCCCGCCUCCCCCCCUCCGCCCCCGGGAGGAUGGUUCCUGCCCGGGCCCAUCACCUCCCGGCCCUUCCCAACAGCCGCCUCCCUCCCUCCCCUCCGCGAAAAUACUCGGCCCACUAAGAUGGCGGCUGACAAAACAGCCCGAGCGGCGCCCUCCCCCAGACCGCCGCGCUCCGCUUCCCCCCCGCGCAGCCUCCACGGCCGCCGCCGGGCCCGGCCCUUCCCUUCCCUUCCUCCCUUCCCUCCCUGCCCUCCCACCCCGACGGCCGGUGGUCGGCGGGCCCCGCCGCCGCCCUGCCCCGGCUUCACUCACGCUGUGGGAGCCGCCGAGGCGCGGCUGACAGACCUCCCGCUCCGCCUCUGCCGCCCUAAUGGCGGAGCUCCCGCCGCUGCUGCUGCUGCUGCCCGCUCCCGCGGCGGCGGCGGGCGCUGA